GGGUAGGAAGCGAUAGUUUGCACCCAGUUUCGACCUGGUACUAGAUGGUUACAUCCCUGCUCU
rnacentral:tRNA from 1 species